UGUUCACUCAUAUUUUCAUGGUUCCUGAGAUCAGAUUUUUGAAGAAUAAAAAAUCAAUCAACGAGGAAUUUUUUCAAUGUUCUAUUGUUGUUAAUGCUAGAUUUGUUGAAUAAAUGUUCUGGGUAAAAUAUUAAAGUAAACAAAAUAAAAGUUAAUUUGAUCGAAUUUGUUGCAAGCUACGAAUACAUUCUUGCCUUUAGAUAGUAGUUAACAUUUCCCGCAACUCCCUGCAGAUGCAUGAACUUUUCAAUUUUCU